rfam:Hordeum vulgare subsp. vulgare, WGS project CAJW01000000 data, contig: morex_contig_54046
UACAUACUCCCUCCGUCCGGAAAUACUUGUCCUAAAAAUGUAUAAAAAGGAUGUAUCUAUAACUAAAAUAAGUCUAGAUACAUCUAUUUCUAGGACAAGUAUUUCCGGAGGGAGUAUUAU